rnacentral:rRNA from 1 species
UACGGGGGGGGCAAGCGUUGUUCGGAAUUACGGGGCGUAAAGGGCUCGUAGGUGGCCAACUAAGUCAGACGUGAAAUCCCUCGGCUUAACCGGGGAACUGCGUCUGAUACUGGAUGGCUUGAGUUCGGGAGAGGGAUGCGGAAUUCCAGGUGUAGCAGUGAAAUGCGUAGAUAUCUGGAGGAACACCGGUGGCGAAGGCGGCAUCCUGGACCGACACUGACGCUGAGGAGCGAAAGCCAGGGGAGCAAACGGG